AGUUUCUUGGAUGUAAAAUUCUGAAGUUAGAACACAACAUUAUUGAAAGAAAAGAAAUUCCUUGAUUGAAAAAAAAGCCACACAAAAAGCAAGGCGAAGGAGAGAAUAGAAAUAUUUUUAAUGUAACUAUUGAAGUUUUUACGCUCCAAAAGCUCUGGAAACGAGGAAUAUCAAGAUACGCACACAGCCGGUGUAGGGCUAGGUCGCGGGGUCAGAUCGGACUUUAAAAAUCGUGACGUUAUAGCAGUCGCGUGAAAAAUCAAUCGGAGAAGAAGAAGGUGAAGAAGAAUGCAAAAUCUUAUUAAAACAGUAGUAACCACAACUUGGUAAGUGGAACUUUGGCACGAAACAUGCAAAUGUACCAUGGUUGUUUUAUUUAUGCAUUACGAAUUUAAUCACAUAGACCGUUAUUUUAAUUUGAUAAGCUAUGUUAGAUACUCCUUCAAAUUUUCAUUUCCAGUUAUGUUUUU